GAUGAACGCUGGCGGCGUGCCUAAUACAUGCAAGUCGAGCGAACAGACGAGGAGCUUGCUCCUUUGACGUUAGCGGCGGACGGGUGAGUAACACGUAGGUAACCUACCUAUAAGACUGGGAUAACUUCGGGAAACCGGAGCUAAUACCGGAUAAUAUUUCGAACCGCAUGGUUCGAUAGUGAAAGAUGGCUUUGCUAUCACUUAUAGAUGGACCUGCGCCGUAUUAGCUAGUUGGUAAGGUAACGGCUUACCAAGGCAACGAUCCGUAGCCGACCUGAGAGGGUGAUCGGCCACACUGGAACUGAGACACGGUCCAGACUCCUACGGGAGGCAGCAGUAGGGAAUCUUCCGCAAUGGGCGAAAGCCUGACGGAGCAACGCCGCGUGAGUGAUGAAGGUCUUCGGAUCGUAAAACUCUGUUAUUAGGGAAGAACAAACGUGUAAGUAACUGUGCACGUCUUGACGGUACCUAAUCAGAAAGCCACGGCUAACUACGUG
rnacentral:rRNA from 1 species